rnacentral:rRNA from 1 species
UACAGAGGUCCCAAGCGUUGUUCGGAUUCACUGGGCGUAAAGGGUGCGUAGGCGGUCGGGUAAGUCUGAUGUGAAAUCUCACAGCUUAACUGUGAAACUGCAUUGGAUACUAUCCGGCUCGAGGAAUGGAGGGGAGACUGGAAUACUUGGUGUAGCAGUGAAAUGCGUAGAUAUCUGGAGGAACACCGGUGGCGAAGGCGGCAUCCUGGACCGGUAUUGACGCUGAGGCGCGAAAGCCAGGGGAGCAAACGGG